rnacentral:rRNA from 1 species
CAAUAGCGUAUAUUAAAGUUGUUGCGGUUAAAAAGCUCGUAGUUGGAUUUCUGCUGAGAACGACCGGUCCGCCCUUUGGGUGUGUAUCUGGCUCUUUCUUGGCAUCUUCUUGGUGAACGUUGCUGCACUUGACUGUGUGGAGCGCUACCCAGGACUUUUACUUUGAGGAAAUUAGAGUGUUUCAAGCAGGCAUACGCCUUGAAUACAUUAGCAUGGAAUAAUAAGAUAGGACCUCGGUUCUAUUUUGUUGGUUUCUAGAGCUGAGGUAAUGAUUAAUAGGGAUAAUUGGGGGCAUUCGUAUUAACACGUCAGAGGUGAAAUUCUUGGAUUGUGUUACGACGAACUACUGCGAAAGCAUUUGCCAAGGAUGUUUUCAUUGA